rnacentral:rRNA from 1 species
UACGGAGGGAGCUAGCGUUGUUCGGAAUUACUGGGCGUAAAGCGCACGUAGGCGGCUUGGCAAGUCGGAUGUGAAAUCCCUCGGCUCAACCAAGGAAGUGCAUCCGAAACUGCCGAGCUUGAGUACUUAAGAGGAUCGCGGAAUUCCCGGUGUAGAGGUGAAAUUCGUAGAUAUCGGGAGGAACACCAGUGGCGAAGGCGGCGAUCUGGGAAGAUACUGACGCUGAGGUGCGAAAGCGUGGGGAGCAAACAGG